GAUGAAGAACGCAGCGAAAUGCGAUAAGUAAUGUGAAUUGCAGAAUUCAGUGAAUCAUCGAGUCUUUGAACGCACAUUGCGCCCCCUGGUAUUCCGGGGGGCAUGCCUGUCCGAGCGUCAUUGCUGCCCUCAAGCACGGCUUGUGUGUUGGGCCCCCGUCCCCGGUUUCCCCCGGGGACGGGCCCGAAAGGCAGCGGCGGCACCGCGUCCGGUCCUCGAGCGUAUGGGGCUUUGACACCCGCUCUGUAGGCCCGGCCGGCGCCAGCCGACACCCAACUUUAUUUCUAAGGUUGACCUCGGAUCAGGUAGGGAUACCCGCUGAACUUAAGCAUAUCAAUAAGCGGAGGA
rnacentral:misc_RNA from 1 species